rnacentral:tRNA from 5 species
GCCUAUAGCUCAGUUGGUUAGAGCAGAGGACUCAUAAUCCUUUGGUCCACGGUUCGAGUCCGUGUGGG